UACGAAGGGGGCUAGCGUUGCUCGGAAUUACUGGGCGUAAAGCGCACGUAGGCGGAUCUUUUAAGUCAGGGGUGAAAUCCUGGAGCUCAACUCCAGAACUGCCUUUGAUACUGAGGACCUUGAGUUCGGGAGAGGUGAGUGGAACUGCGAGUGUAGAGGUGAAAUUCGUAGAUAUUCGCAAGAACACCCAGUGGCGAAGGCGGUCA
rnacentral:rRNA from 1 species